GCCCUCUCGGAGUCACAACUGGAGAGUUUCCAGUACUCUACCAGUUUUGACUAAGGGAGGGAGAGUUAGGUAGAGGCAAACCCAUUCCAUUCCUAGCUUGGGCAGUGACUGGAGAAUGGAAGACAAUCUGCUACAAGU